rnacentral:lncRNA from 1 species
AACGCAAUCAUAGGUUUAAAGUAGUUUUUAAUUAAGACUUGUUCAUAUUUUUUCGUACAACUUUUGUGAUGACAUAUUCCGUUCGUAUCUUCCACUUUUCUUUCUGUUGUACUAAUUCAAAUCUGGAGUUUCUAGGCUACAAUCUUAAAGAAGAACGAAAACUCUGAAAUGAGAUGUAGACGAGCAACUGACUUGAGUAUAGAUUUUCUGUGUAUUGCAUUGAUUUAUCUUAAUUUGUGAAUUGAUCUCUCGGUGUGAUGAUAUAUUUCAAGCUUCUCGCUUGCAAAUGGAUUUUCUCAGUCGAAAUGAGUUAAAACGCUAUGCAUAUUGAGUCAAGGUCAUUGACAUUGUUAAAAAAAAAAUUAAAUACAGAAUAUAUCUGGUCUGCCAACUCGAGGAUAUAUGCCCGCUUCAUCUCAUCUGAAUCUAACUUUCUUUGGCAUAUCAACAAAGAGUGUUGUUUUUGCUAGCGCUCGUCACUUUCGUAAUUUACGAAACGGUUUUCGCAAUGACGAAAGUAUUGCAAAACAAUUUCGACACUUAAAUUUUGAAAGCUUAAAAAUAUUUUCUCAUCAAAAUACUAUAAAUCUACCUGUCUUUAUGUUUUUGACCCCCAGUUAAUCAACAUUUUCAACAGGUGUUACAAGUUGUGAUUACAACUAAUCUGCGUAUCGCCAUCGGAUGGGUCACUAAUCCGUUAAUUAUUAAUAAACCUCAUAAUUCACCAUAAUAACUAUUCACAAGGAAACUCAUUCAGACGGCAUUUCAAUAACAAUGAGUAUAGUUUUGUCAUUUGAUCAAAAUUGCUUCCCCCUGGACAGUUUGCAUUUGAAUUUCUAUAUUUCUCAAACCAUUACAAUUUCAAGUUCGUUGGUCGUAGAUUCGUCAUUCGAACGCAUUUCGUCAUAUUUGAUAUAAAUUUUCCUCAAAAAAUUUCGACAAUUUCCAUUUAACAUAUAGAACUUUAUUCAAAACGUUCAGAAAUCAAACAGAUGCUUCCUGUACUGUGUAUAUAUAGACAUCAAAAACGUAAAAUACGAAAUCAUUUAGUAUCAAUUAACCGAGAGAUACAAAUAUAUAUCUCUUACCAUGGAAGUAUUAUAAUAUAAUACUUCCAAGCUCUUGCUAAAGGAAUUUAAAUCUAAAAAUGAUAAUUUCCUGCUUUUAUAAAUCACAAACCAAUACGUAGAUGAAUUCGGACUCGUUUUGAAUUUAUUAUCCCCGUGUCACUUCCCGUUUUCAUUUUAUUUUAAAACCGAAGGUAGUAACGUUAAGGUGGCACGGUAGUAUUUGCAUUCCAGAAUUUAGGUUGCUCUUUUGUGUACCCUACUUAGGUAAAUGUAUCUAAACAGUGUGAUUGGACAAAAAAUACAGUAUCAACUGAACAUACUUUCCCAAACUGAAGUAUGAAUCAGGUGUAGAAAAAUAUGAAAUAAUUUUACAUACAGAUGAAAAUGAAUUUUUAGGAUUUUUUUAUUUUGUAUUCACUGCACCGUAAAAGACCUAAAAGUACUUUUUAAAAAAGCAAAAAAGUAAACGGUCAUGUAAUAUUCAAAUUCAUUUCUGAAUAGUAAAAUGAAAGUACUUCAGUUAACUGUGAAUGUAGAAUUUUUUGCAGUGUUAGAAAGUUCACCGUGCCACCUUUAUCUAUUCUUCUUUUGUUUACAACCUCCUUACAGUCAUAAUGUUAUCUAUUCUUCUUUUGUUUUACAGUCAUAAUGUUAUCUAUUCUUCUUUUGUUUACAACCUCCUUACAGUCAUAAUUAUCGUUUCAAAAAAGAUUUUAUACAGUUCCGACUUAAUAAAUAAUAAUUUCCUCCAAAUAUCGAUUUAGACGUUUUCCUAUAAGGAUACUGAUUAUGCAGUGAGAUGAUCGUUGCAAGUUAAUGUCUGCUGUGGUUCCUUGUUGAAAAAAACCAACUUUUGUUGAUCAGGAAUGUCCCCUCUAACAAACCGAAGAGAAGAACUUAAUUUUGAGAUCCCAUGUAAGAAUCUUUCAUAAUAAGGGCCAUUACAGUCAAAUCAUACAAUACCUUGGUCCUUUUAAUGUCUGACAAAGUCCAAUAUGUAGCUAGAAAUUUUCAUCCUUGGUCCCGUGCUGUUACACAAAAAAGGUUGAUUCUAAUAGCUCACAAAAGCGACUAAAGCCCUCAAACUCCUAGCCUAAAGUUCAAAUUGAAGACACACACCCUCUUGGUUAUUAAGAAUCAUUAAAAAAAUCUGUAUUUAGACGAAAGAGAGGCGAAAGAUAUCAGAGAUAUAGCCUUGGAACUACUAAAUAUGGCUUAAGAUCGUUUCGUUAUAAUGCUGCACAAAUCUGGAAUGAGCUACCGAACCAUUGUAGAUUGGAAACAUCUUUCGACCAAUUCAACAAAUUGGUACAAACAUGGGAUCCAAGUAACAGCUCAUGCCAGUGCAGUGCAUGCAUAUACUGUUUUAUUUUACUUUUAUUUUCUGUGUGACUAUUUGAUUUGUGCAAUCUUAUUAUUAACUUGUGCUAUGUUUUAAGUGUA